UACGUAGGCAGCAAGCGUUGUUCGGAAUUACUGGGCGUAAAGAGUGUGUAGGCGGUGCUCUAAGUCUGUUGUGAAAUCUCCCGGCUUAACUGGGAGGGUGCGGCGGAGACUGGAGUGCUAGAGUGUGGGAGAGGUAAGCGGAAUUCCUGGUGUAGCGGUGAAAUGCGUAGAUAUCAGGAGGAACACCUGUGGUGUAGACAGCUUACUGGACCACGACUGACGCUGAGACACGAAAGCAUGGGUAGCAAACAGG
rnacentral:rRNA from 1 species